rnacentral:rRNA from 1 species
UACGUAGGGAGCGAGCGUUGUUCGGAAUUACUGGGCGUAAAGGGUGUGUAGGUGGAUUUGCAAGCCUUGAGUGAAAUCCUCCGGCUCAACCGGAGAACUGCUCGAGGGACUGCAAGUCUUGAGUGCAGGGGAAGAGAGCGGAAUUCUCGGUGUAGCGGUGAAAUGCGUAGAUAUCGAGAAGAACACCUGCGGUGAAAACGGCUCUCUAUUCUGACACUGACACUGAAACACGAAAGCUAGGGUAG